rnacentral:rRNA from 1 species
AGAGCGAACGCUGGCGGCAGGCCUAACACAUGCAAGUCGAGCGCCCCGCAAGGGGAGCGGCAGACGGGAGAGUAACACGUGGGAACGUGCCCUUUGGUUCGGAACAACACAGGGAAACUUGUGCUAAUACCGGAUAAGUCCGUAAGGAGAAAGAUUUAUCGCCAAAGGAUCGGCCCGCGUCUGAUUAGCUAGUUGGUGAGGUAACGGCUCACCAAGGCGACGAUCAGUAGCUGGUCUGAGAGGAUGAUCAGCCUCACUGGGACUGAGACACGGCCCAGACUCCUACGGGAGGCAGCAGUGGGGAAUAUUGGACAAUGGGCGCAAGCCUGAUCCAGCCAUGCCGCGUGGAUGAUGAAGGCCCUAGGGUUGUAAAGUCCUUUCGACGGGGAAGAUAAUGACGGUACCCGUAGAAGAAGCCCGGCUAACUUCGCGCCAGCAGCCGC